UGGUGGAGUGAUUUGUCUGGUUAAUUCCGUUAACGAACGAGACCUUAACCUACUAAAUAGUUACGCGAAAUUUUAUUUCGUGGGCAACUUCUUAGAGGGACUAUUCGUGUUACAGCGAAUGGAAGUUUGAGGCAAUAACA
rnacentral:rRNA from 1 species